GGAGGUGUGGCUGAGUGGUUGAAGGCACCGGUCUUGAAAACCGGCGAAGGGUAACCUUUCGUGAGUUCGAAUCUCACCUCCUCCG
rnacentral:tRNA from 1 species